AAAACAUCUUUUCUUGUAUUUUAUUUGAGAUUUGGCCUGCCCAAUGAUUUAUUUAAUGGCCGCGGUAUCUUGACCGUGCAAAGGUAGCAUAAUCAUUAGUCUAAUAAUUGUAGACUUGUAUGAAUGGUUGGACGAAAUAUUAACUGUCUCGUAUUUAUUUAUAUAAUUUGAAUUUUUAGUCAAAAUGCUUAAAUUUUUUUAUUGGACGAGAAGACCCUAUAGAUCUUUAUUUUCAUUUAUUAUUUUUUAUUUGGUUUAUAUUAUUUAUUAUUUUAGUAUGAAUUUUUUGUUGGGGUGACAUUGAGAUAAAAUUAACUCUUUAUUUUUUUAUUCAUUUAUUUUUGUUUUAUUGACCUUUUAUUAUUGAUUUAAGAUAUAGAUACCUUAGGGAUAACAGCGUUAUUCUUUUUGAGAGUUCAUAUCGACAAUG
rnacentral:rRNA from 1 species